GUCCACGCUGUAAACGAUGGGUACUAGACGUUGGGAAGCUUGUCUUCUUAGUGUCGCAGCUAACGCGAUAAGUACCCCGCCUGGGGAGUACGGCCGCAAGGUUAAACUCAAAGGAAUUGACGGGGCCCGCACAAGCGGUGGAGCAUGUGGUUUAAUUCGAUGCAACGCGAAAACCUUACCUGCCCUUGACAUCUGGAGAAUCCUGCAGAGAUGCGGGAGUGCCUUCGGGAACUCCAAGACAGGUGCUGCAUGGCUGUCGU
rnacentral:rRNA from 1 species